CCCCUCCACUACAGGGUGAUACUCAUUAAGUGGAAAGGACAAGAAGCAGCAGGAAUCAAAGCAUUACUAACAGGAAUGUAAUUGCUCACCAAAAUCUUUGCAGCAAGCUAGAACAUUCUCAAGAGUACCCAAUUUACCAAUGCAGAGUAUCAAUGUACGUGUUUUAGAAACCAUCAUCAGAAUAAGCACUUGCUCAGCACCUGAGGAAGUCUCUCACCACUUACAGUGAAAUGUAGAAGAGAGAGACUACAGACAACUGCCAGAAAUGGACAAGGGGAGAAGACCCUGGACAGAAAAUCUUUGUCUCCAGAUCAACACUUCAAAUGCAGAGAGUGGCCACACAGAAGGAAGCUACUUUUCCCAGUUUGGAUUCAGUCAGGAAUUAAUUUCAAAGCUGAUCAAGGACCCAAAACCUUACUGAAAUGGGAUGUGAUUCCAGAUUCUUCAGAUGACAACUACUGGCCAGAAAACACAUGGAAUGGAUAAGAACUUCCCAAAAGGCAAAACAGUGCACAAGUAUUUUUCUUUGUGUUACACAUAUUCUAAUGCACAAUUACUGGGUACUCCUGUGGCUUGCAGGUUUACUUGUAGACUUACUUUGCUGUAGGUAGUAGGCCAGACAUACUGGCUGGCACCAGCUACAGCUAGAAGACCACCUAAAAGCGUUAAAUAAGUUUCAACUAAAACCACUCCAGCAGCAAAGGAGAAGAAAUGGGGAAAAAAAUUUUUUUUAAAAAGUACAUUCCUACCAUCUUCUGUGAAACACAAUUCUUUUAGAAAGAGAGAAAUAUACCACUUCCCCUUCCUGGCUAAUGAAAUUUCACAAGAGAAGCAGCUUGUAACAACCUGAAAAUGAAAGUAUUUAUUUGAAGAUUGUCCACUUAGAAGGUGCAACCCUGAAGAUAAAGGGCCUACUUCAAAGGUGCCCUACAGAGAUGGUUGAGAGGCAACAGUGACUUUUUAAACUCAAGUCUGAGACCCUGUUCACGGCUUAAACAAACUAGGACAAAUCUAAUCCCCUUAAUUCUGACCUGAACUAGUAUAAAACUUUAAUUCUCUGAUGACAUAAUGCUGCUUACAAUAACUUCUUUAUUUCAGUAGAAGGAUGUUUAACCUGUAUGUGUCAGUUCAAAUACUCCAUAUAUCUUGUAUCUGGUACAGCAUGAUGUUGAAAUUAAAAUUCACUGUAGUAAAUCAAGCUAAUAUG